rnacentral:rRNA from 1 species
UACGUAGGGGGCAAGCGUUGUCCGGAAUCAUUGGGCGUAAAGCGCGUGUAGGCGGCUUGGUAAGUCCGCUCUGAAAGCCCGGGGCUCAACCCCGGGAGGCGGGUGGAUACUGUCAGGCUCGAGUCCGGAAGAGGCGAGUGGAAUUCCUGGUGUAGCGGUGAAAUGCGCAGAUAUCAGGAGGAACACCAAUGGCGAAGGCAGCUCGCUGGGACGUGACUGACGCUGAGACGCGAAAGCGUGGGGAGCAAACAGG